GACGAACGCUGGCGGCGUGCUUAACACAUGCAAGUCGAACGGUAAGGCCUUUCGGGGUACACGAGUGGCGAACGGGUGAGUAACACGUGGGUGAUCUGCCCUGCACUUUGGGAUAAGCCUGGGAAACUGGGUCUAAUACCGAAUAGGACCAUGGACUUCACGGUUUGUGGUGGAAAGCUUUUGCGGUGUGGGAUGGGCCCGCGGCCUAUCAGCUUGUUGGUGGGGUAAUGGCCUACCAAGGCGACGACGGGUAGCCGGCCUGAGAGGGUGACCGGCCACACUGGGACUGAGAUACGGCCCAGACUCCUACGGGAGGCAGCAGUGGGGAAUAUUGCACAAUGGGCGCAAGCCUGAUGCAGCGACGCCGCGUGAGGGAUGACGGCCUCGGGUUGUAAACCUCUUUCAGCACAGACGAAGCGCAAGUGACGGUAUGUGCAGAAGAAGGACCGGCCAACUACGUGCCAGCAGCCGCGGUAA
rnacentral:rRNA from 1 species